rnacentral:misc_RNA from 1 species
GGAAGUAACAGAACAUCAUAUGGAGGAACGAAGUCGUGGGCUGAAGGUCGAUCGUGCGAACAUUGAGUGUAUGAUGUCAAACGUGGAGUCAUGGAGUUGUGGGAACGUGGAAACAUGCUGGAGACGUGAAAUCAUGGAGGAAACAUGUUAGGUGCCAAAGAAAGUCGUAUCGUGACGGCUAAUGAGCACCCCCGUUGGUGUGGUCAUUUGCGUUCGCCUGCCCGUUUGGCGACAGGGAAUUUUAGUUGAUAAGCGCAGUCGUCCCAGCUGACCGCGGCGCAAGAGUGACGUAGACCUCCUCGAUCCGGCAGGCCGCACCGUUGCUCUUCACUUUCAUUUUCGCGUCCGCCACCUGCUUCGCCUU